rnacentral:lncRNA from 1 species
CUUUAGAGUGGGCUCACACAGAAAAGAAUUUUCUCUUCCACUCCUCCUUCUCUUCGUCUCCCUUCCUUUCCAACGUAUAGAGAGGAUUUCAGAAUCUCAACAGAAAUGUCAGCAGCAUCAGCAACAGAGUAAAGGUGCUUGAUAGCAAGACAGCAAAAGAAAUCGUGGAUGUCGGUUCAGCACCGUGAUGCUCGUACCGUCCACUGGAGCAGUUUGAAGAAAGACUUUCAUUAACAUACUUACACAGCAGUUGGCAUGCUUCCGGUGGCACAAUCAGGAUUCAAGGCAGAGCGCUUAAUGCCAAAGGGUAUUUCAUUGACACUCUCAGCACCAGAAUCUUCAAGGACUUCACCCCAGGCACAACGAUACUGAAGCAAAUGAACGUUUAGAGUGUUCUGAUAAAGAACGAUGGGUUUUUGUUGUUGUUGUUGUUUUGUUUUGUGUUUUUGUUUUGUUUUGUUUUUCCUUUUAAAUUAAAC